AGUCUGAUGAGCACAUUCCACCCUCACACUGAGGAGCGCUGGUAGGUUGCAUCGCGACAUGAUCAACUCCUCUCAUUGUCGUCUGGGAAGUAGGGGGCUGUGCACAUCUACGUGAGUCACACAUCGCUAUGGUACAGCACUAGGGAUAGCUUCGGUAGAAUAGAGAAUUGACCGUUUUCAACCGGCCUUUGGGCAGAUUCACUCUCAGUCUGUUACGAGUGUGUUUUCCUGGCUUCGCUAGGAAGGUCUACGCCCAGUCCAUGCCUUCCCGCUGACCAGAGCCUAUCGGUAACCCAGGCCACACAGGACAGACAGCAUUGCUCCAUUCUCACGACCUACUCUGUAGUCAGUCUGUGGCUGCCUUUCCAGAGCUUUCUUCCGCUGUUCUUCAGAGAAACAGAUGGAGAGUGGGCGAGAGCCAAACAGCGCAGGCGCAGCUCUGCCUGGAAUCUGGACAUCCGCGGGUUCUGUCUGGGCAGCUCAUCCGACACUUCCUCAGCACACCUUCCAGGGAUUGGAAUUAUCUUCCUGAUUCUUCCCGAAUCUUCGUAGUCUACAUGGGAAUGGCCAAUAAUGGUGACGUUGGAAACCAUGAAAUCUUUAGAAGAAAAGGUAUUGAAGCAAAUAGCGAAGGAUGGGUAACUCAGAAGAUAACGGAGACACCAGCCUGAGUCUACUGUGGCAUUCUGCCCCCUAAAUAGAGAUGCAAGGAUAAUGUGAAGAGGGUUCUGAGCACAGGAAGGGAAAUCAGAAUUUCCCUUUGCAACACCUUCCCUUCUUUCCCAUCACCCUUGGGUUUUGAGUGCUGAGCUGAAGUUUGUUUUGUCUUGCCUGUUGGCUCCAUUGGGGAAAGAGGAAGGGGAGGGUUAGAGCCAGAGUUAAAGAGGUCCCCUUCCUUUGUUUAAGAUACAGGCGGAAGGACGCUGUGAUGUGACAAGUUGUGUCUUUAACACGUAAACAGGUUCUAGAUUGUGCUUGCCCUUCCCCUCACCCCUGCACAUGCCAAACUCCAUUGGCUCUCCUCCGUGCCACAGUGUCCUGUCCUUGGCCCUGGCACUCUACAACUGCAUGGUGUCUGUCCUUAUGUCUCAGGCUGCUCCUUUCCGGUCCCCUUUCUGGUUCCUCCUACCCAUCCUUUAGAUGGUCUUUACCUUUGUAUUUUUUCCCCCAUGAAUCCUUUUUACUCAUUUCUUUAAUGAUGCUUUUCACAUCCAAGUUUCUAGACCAGAAAAUGUUGUCUGGACUUCAGAUUCAAAAAUUGCAGUUCCUCUCCAAAGUGCUGAGUGCAGUUCCGGGCUGCUUCCAUGUUCUGUUAAUUAAACAUUGAAAUUGGCUGAGAGA
rnacentral:lncRNA from 1 species